UUCAAUAACAAAAAUAAAUGCAGAAAAUAAAAGUUCAACAUGAGGAAUUUUUUCGGCCGUAGCCCCAGAGGUUCGGCAACCACUUUCUAACGCCUAAUCGCCUGUUAAGCAUCCAUUGUAAAUGGAUAAAACUCGGUUGCACUAAUAGCCCCAAAACCAGCAGCAAGUGUACAAGAGUAUUCCAGAAAAUAUUACAAAGAACUUAACACGAAGACUUAUCUUUGCAAGAGCUACACGACAGACUACUAUUCCACAAAAGAAUCGAACAGAUCACAAAGAUCCAUCAAAGGACUAGAACUGCACGCUAUGAAUCACACAGAUUCAUCCAAAAUACCACACAGGGUAGCACACUAAUAUGCAGAUCUAUAAUACCACAAAGUAUUCACGCAUUUAUUCACUGAAAACACUCAAGAUUUAUGAACCCUAAUCACCAAGAAAAGGAGUAAUCUCAUGUAGAGAAGAGAGAGAACAGAGAGAUGAACAGCCGACUCAAAAAACCCUCCAAGUAAGAUGAAAAGGCAUGUUUGGGAUAUUUAGGGGUAGAAUGAUCUAGAAGCUCAUCCAAGGGUCAUUACAUAGCCACGUGUUUCAAUCUGGUCAAUUCCAUUUAUUUCCAAAAGUGUUAAUCCAAAACACGACUUUACCACAGUAUUUGGAAGCACACUUUUAUAAGUGAUGAGAACACGGUUUGAAUAUCAACAAUCUCCACCUUGCUUCCAAAUUCUUGGCCAUAGUGUAGCUAGGAGCUUCACCAACAGUUUAUAAUUUCAUUUACUCAUAGUACCUGCAUGAUCAAUGAAGGGAAUCAAUUGAUUAAUCCUUUUGAUAAUACAUCUCUUAUGAAAUGGUAUUUAACAUCAAUAUGCUUGGUUCUAUCAUGGAACAUGGGAUUCUUACUAAAAUGAAUAGCACUUUGAUUGUCAGAAAAUAAGGUUGGAUUAGUGUCCACAAAACCAAGUUCAUAUAAUAGACCAUUUAACCAAAUGCCUUCUUUAACGGCAUCUGUGGCAAUGAUAUAUUCUGCCUCAGUGGAAGAUAAAGCAACUACCUUUUGUAACUAUGAUUUCCAACUCACAACAGUACCACAGAAAGUAAAGUAAUAAGACGAGGUAGAUCUCCUAUUAUCUUUAUCUCCAGCAAAAUUUGAGUCAGUAUAACCUUUUAGUGUUACCCCCUCUUUAUUUAUCUUAAACACUAGACCUAUGUCAGAUAAACCUUUUAAAUAUUUCAACAACCAUUUUAAUGCUUCCCAGUGACUUUCACCAAGAUUGGCCAUAAAUCUGCUUAACACACUAAUACUAUAUGCUAAAUCAGGCCUAGUACAUAUCAUUAGAUACAUUAUUGAUCAUAUAACAUUAGCAUAAGGUAUUCUGUUCAUUUUAGCCAAUUCUUCUUCAGUUUUAGGACAUGCAUCUGAGGUCAGUAUAAAAUGAUUUGCAAGGGGUAAUGUUACAGGUUUACACUCAAACAUAUUGAACUUUUUCAAGAUUUUAUUCACGUAAUCCUUUUGGUUUAAGAACAGCAUUCCAUUUUCUUUAUUUCUAACAAUUUGCAUACCAAGAAUCUUCUUGGCUGAGCCAAGAUCUUUCAUGUCAAAUUCUGAUUUUAGCUUUUGCUUAAUGUCAUCAAUUUCAAAUUUACAAGCACUAGCAAUAAGCAUAUCAUCAACAUAAAGAACCAAAUAAAGAGAAUUCUUACCACCACAUCCUUUACAAUACAAACAUGUAUCAUAAUUGCCUUGAUUAAAAUCAUGUUUUAAUACAAAAGAAUCAAAACAUUUGUACCAUUGUCUAGGGGUUUGUUUCAACCCAUACAAUGAUUUUUUCAACAAACAAACAUUUUUAUUUGGAUCACCUUUUUCAAAACCUGUUGGUUGCCUCAUAUAGAUCAAUUCAUCCAAUUCUCCAUAUAGAAAAGCUAUUUUUACAUCUAAUUGAUCUAAUUCCCAUUCAAAUUGAGCAACCAAAGCCAGAAUGCAUCUUAUAGUGGUAUACUUAACUACAGGGGAAAAAUCCUCAUCAUAGUCAAUUCCUUCUCUUUGGGUAAAACCUUUUGCAACAAGCCUAGCUUUAUAUCUAAUAUUAUUGUUGCCACAUUCCCCUUCUUUUAUUUUAUAUAUCCACUUACAAUCUGUCAAUUUUUUAUCCUUAGGUUUGUCAACACCAAUUCUCAUGUUUUAUUUUUAUGCAAUGAGGUCAUCUCCUCUUCCAUAGCAGCUAACCAAAUUUUUGAAUCCUUAGAUUUUAUGGCAUCAUUAUAUGAACAAGGUUCAAAUUCAAUUUCAUCCUGAUAGGAGAACAGUGAGACAAAUUCUUCAGUAUUAUUCCUAGCAGGAGGUCUAAUUUGUCUUCUUUCCCUAUCUCUAGUUAGCUGGUAUUCAUCAGGUGGUAAUACAGGGUCAUCAUUGGGUUCAGAUUCUGCCAGUUCAACAUCAGUACCAUUCAGGACUGCAUCAGUAUUUUCAGUUUCUAAAGGGACAGUAUUAAUAUUAUCAAGCUUGGUUGGCUCCACCUCAAUUUGGAUAUCAUUAUCAGUUAAGUUUUCUUUCUUUCCUUCUAAACAUGGCAUACAAGACUCGUUAAAAAUUACAUCUCUCCUUAUAAUAACCCUAUAACCUUUUUCCCUAUAAACCCACAGCGUAUAUCCUUUAACAUUUUCAGCAUAACCCAAAAACACACAUUUAAAGGAUCUUGGUUCUAAUUUCCCUAUGUUUUGAUGAGCAUAUGCAGCACAACCAAAUGUAUUCAAGUAGGAGUAUAUCACAAGCUUUUGUGUCCACACAGAUUCUGGUACAUCAAAAUUUAAAGCACUUGUAGGACUUCCAUUAAUCAAAUAUACAGCAGUUUUAACAGCUUCACCCCAAAAUAAUUUGGGCAAGCCAUAGCUCAAAAGCAUGUAUCUAACUUUGUUCAACAAAGUCCUAUUCGUUCUUUCCGCAAUGCCAUUUUGUUGGGGUGUAUAGGUCACAGUUCUAUGUCUUAAAAUGUCAUGCAGUUUGCAAAACUCAUUAAACUCAUAAUUGCAAAAUUCUAGACCAUUGUCAGUUCUCAAUGUUUUGAUUUUCAGAUUAGUUUGAUUUUCAAUU
rnacentral:lncRNA from 1 species